UGAAAUUUCAAGACGAUCACAAAACGAGAACAAGGUGAAAGCAGGAACCAACGUUUCGACAACUGGGCUUGUCUUUUUCAAG
rnacentral:lncRNA from 1 species